rnacentral:rRNA from 1 species
CAGCCGUAAACUAUGCGCGUUAGGUGUACUGGUGACCACGAGUCACCGGGGUGCCGAAGGGAAACCGCGAAACGUGCCGCCUGGGAAGUACGGUCGCAAGGCUGAAACUUAAAGGAAUUGGCGGGGGGAGCACCACAACGGGUGGAGCCUGCGGUUUAAUUGGACUCAACGCCGGAAAUCUCACCGGAUAGGACAGACAUAUGAUAGUCGGGCUGAAGACUCUACUUGAUGAUCUGAGAGGUGGUGCAUGGCGUCAGUGACU